rnacentral:lncRNA from 1 species
CUGGUACAGUAUGUGGUCUCUGCAGGCAUCUAUCUUCAUGGGGCAUUCUGGAUUCUGGGAGGUAGAAAGUUUUUUAUCCUAAAAUUGUUCAAAGUUAAAUCAAGUUCACAACAAUAACUUGGGCCCCCUGAGGUGAAUAAUAACAAACACAGGGGUUCCUCAGGGAUGCAUGGCUGUAUUAUGGGGUAUAUGAAUCAAUUUGCAAAAGAAAAUUUUUUAAAAAGCAGGAAAAAUCCAAAUAAAAGAGAAAAAUAACUUGUGGAUAUAAUACAAAAUGUAAAAGUAUUAUGUUUAAAAAAACCUAAGUAAAGGAAAAACAAACCCAUAGCAGGUCCUUGAAUUGGGGCCCAAUUAAGAUGAUUUAAGAAAUGAUGCAUUUACCCAAUCAGUAGCCAGGGCUACAGAAAGUUUUGCCCCACCAUGAAAGACAGAAAAGGGACUAGAUUAGAGGAGGCAGGUAGGAGACAAAUUUGAGAUAUUAGGUAGAAUAUGGGUCAAGGAAAACCUGCCUUUAACACAUGUUAAACAGCCAUAACCUCAAACCCCAAACAAAUUCAAAUCCUCUUGUCUUGGCUAAAAAUUACAUCAAUCCUACCAGGAUUGGUUGGUCUCUUUGACCUUGUGCUCGAUUGGCACUAUGCAAUUUAGCUUUGUGCUUCUUUGGCACUGUGCAAUGGCUCUUUUUGUAUUCUCUUGUCCUGGAAUCAGACAGAAUCAUUAAGCAAAGUCUCAUAAUUUUUUUAACAUUUUAUUUGGUCAUUUCCAAACAUUAUCACAGCCCAACCACCCAGGUGUUCAGCUCCGCCCAGAUAAUCAGCGUGUGGUCCACUCCUGGUGUUUAGCUCCACCCAGGUGCUCAGCGCAACUGCCCCGAGUACAGCUCUGCGGACCCCCUGUGCUCAGUGCAGGAUUAUCCGGUGAAACCACCCUGAGACGUUGUUUCCUGGCAGUCCCCAGAUCCCAAGGACCCUGGAGUGCCCCCCCAGACAGAGACGUUCACCACUCACUCGCUGUCCUGAGCAAUCUGUCUCUGAUGAAGCUAUGCAAAGACCUUGCUUAGAAUUCACAAUGACCAGAGAAAUAUCCUGAACAACUACUAUAUAGAGAAUGGCAAGGUAGGCAACUGUUGUCACUUCUUAGAAUAACUUCUGGGGAAGGUCAAUGAAAAAAACAAACAAACAAACAAAAAAAGAAGAGAGAAUGAAAUGCUUUCUACCUGGUCAGCUGAGACACCAUUCCUUUCCUGUUCCUAUACUCUACAUCAGACAUUAUGAGUAGCUGUAUAAAAAUUAAAUGCUCCCAGGGAUGAUAAAGUGUCUUAUACUGUAAGAAGAAUGUCAUAAUCCUCUGAAAACUGACUUUAAGUCAUUUUAGCCUAGCAUAUUGCUUAGAUGGAGUACCAUCAAUUCAGAAUGCAUCCUGUUCAAUUCCUGCCUCUGAAACCUAUUAGCUCAUGAGAUGUGGAUAAGUUGCUUAAUAUCGCCAUGCCCCUAAGCAAUUUUCUAACACCACGAGUAGUACCUUUGCCUCAUAGAUGUAGAAAGAAUUUCUACAAUGGCAGCUCCCUGUACUGAUAAAAUCACUACUGUGGAUUAAACAUACAUCAAGUGAUUAUUUAAAAAUCAUAAUCUCAUUGGAAGUAUAUAUUAUAUUAAAAUUGACCGAAAUAAAGAUUUCAAGGUGCUCUAGAAAUAUAAUUGC